GGGUUGUGAGGUUAAGCGACUAAGCGUACACGGUGGAUGCCCUGGCAGUCAGAGGCGAUGAAGGACGUGCUAAUCUGCGAUAAGCGUCGGUAAGGUGAUAUGAACCGUUAUAACCGGCGAUUUCCGAAUGGGGAAACCCAGUGUGUUUCGACACACUAUCAUUAACUGAAUCCAUAGGUUAAUGAGGCGAACCGGGGGAACUGAAACAUCUAAGUACCCCGAGGAAAAGAAAUCAACCGAGAUUCCCCCAGUAGCGGCGAGCGAACGGGGAGCAGCCCAGAGCCUGAAUCAGUGUGUGUGUUAGUGGAAGCGUCUGGAAAGGCGCGCGAUACAGGGUGACAGCCCCGUACACAAAAAUGCACAUGCUGUGAGCUCGAUGAGUAGGGCGGGACACGUGGUAUCCUGUCUGAAUAUGGGGGGACCAUCCUCCAAGGCUAAAUACUCCUGACUGACCGAUAGUGAACCAGUACCGUGAGGGAAAGGCGAAAAGAACCCCGGCGAGGGGAGUGAAAAAGAACCUGAAACCGUGUACGUACAAGCAGUGGGAGCACGCUUAGGCGUGUGACUGCGUACCUUUUGUAUAAUGGGUCAGCGACUUAUAUUCUGUAGCAAGGUUAACCGAAUAGGGGAGCCGAAGGGAAACCGAGUCUUAACUGGGCGUUAAGUUGCAGGGUAUAGACCCGAAACCCGGUGAUCUAGCCAUGGGCAGGUUGAAGGUUGGGUAACACUAACUGGAGGACCGAACCGACUAAUGUUGAAAAAUUAGCGGAUGACUUGUGGCUGGGGGUGAAAGGCCAAUCAAACCGGGAGAUAGCUGGUUCUCCCCGAAAGCUAUUUAGGUAGCGCCUCGUGAAUUCAUCUCCGGGGGUAGAGCACUGUUUCGGCAAGGGGGUCAUCCCGACUUACCAACCCGAUGCAAACUGCGAAUACCGGAGAAUGUUAUCACGGGAGACACACGGCGGGUGCUAACGUCCGUCGUGAAGAGGGAAACAACCCAGACCGCCAGCUAAGGUCCCAAAGUCAUGGUUAAGUGGGAAACGAUGUGGGAAGGCCCAGACAGCCAGGAUGUUGGCUUAGAAGCAGCCAUCAUUUAAAGAAAGCGUAAUAGCUCACUGGUCGAGUCGGCCUGCGCGGAAGAUGUAACGGGGCUAAACCAUGCACCGAAGCUGCGGCAGCGACGCUUAUGCGUUGUUGGGUAGGGGAGCGUUCUGUAAGCCUGCGAAGGUGUGCUGUGAGGCAUGCUGGAGGUAUCAGAAGUGCGAAUGCUGACAUAAGUAACGAUAAAGCGGGUGAAAAGCCCGCUCGCCGGAAGACCAAGGGUUCCUGUCCAACGUUAAUCGGGGCAGGGUGAGUCGACCCCUAAGGCGAGGCCGAAAGGCGUAGUCGAUGGGAAACAGGUUAAUAUUCCUGUACUUGGUGUUACUGCGAAGGGGGGACGGAGAAGGCUAUGUUGGCCGGGCGACGGUUGUCCCGGUUUAAGCGUGUAGGCUGGUUUUCCAGGCAAAUCCGGAAAAUCAAGGCUGAGGCGUGAUGACGAGGCACUACGGUGCUGAAGCAACAAAUGCCCUGCUUCCAGGAAAAGCCUCUAAGCAUCAGGUAACAUCAAAUCGUACCCCAAACCGACACAGGUGGUCAGGUAGAGAAUACCAAGGCGCUUGAGAGAACUCGGGUGAAGGAACUAGGCAAAAUGGUGCCGUAACUUCGGGAGAAGGCACGCUGAUAUGUAGGUGAAGUCCCUCGCGGAUGGAGCUGAAAUCAGUCGAAGAUACCAGCUGGCUGCAACUGUUUAUUAAAAACACAGCACUGUGCAAACACGAAAGUGGACGUAUACGGUGUGACGCCUGCCCGGUGCCGGAAGGUUAAUUGAUGGGGUCAGCGCAAGCGAAGCUCUUGAUCGAAGCCCCGGUAAACGGCGGCCGUAACUAUAACGGUCCUAAGGUAGCGAAAUUCCUUGUCGGGUAAGUUCCG
rnacentral:rRNA from 1 species